ACUGCUCCUUGAGGCGUUGCAGCCCGUCAUGUGGUGGUGCUGUGUCAUAAGGAGCACAGAGAAAAGGUGGAGGUCUGCACGGGGACUCUGUUUUUAGGGAUCUCUGAGUGAAAUCAUCACCAACAAA
rnacentral:snoRNA from 1 species